UCACGUCUGGUUCUGGUUCGUGACUGAGUUGGACGGCCCUGAAGUUCAUCAAGCCUCUGACGGAUCGCCUCCAAACCUGUAUUCAACAAGUUAGACAUAGAAUCAUUGAAAGCACAUAUUUGCAAGUUAGAUAAUCCGGCAUAUGAAUUUCCGGGUCGGUUUCUUUCUUCUUCACUAUCCAUGGUUACCUGAAAACUUAAACAAGGUAAAGUUAGAUUAAAAACCACACACACUCAGGUGUUUAUCCUCACCCACACACGUGUUUCACUCAAUUUUUGUUGGUAAUCACACAAGAGAGUUCCUCCCAAAGUUCUAACAGAG
rnacentral:lncRNA from 1 species